UGGGGAAUUUUGGACAAUGGGGGCAACCCUGAUCCAGCCAUGCCGCGUGAGUGAAGAAGGCCUUCGGGUUGUAAAGCUCUUUCGGCGGGGACGAAACGGUCCGUGACAACACCACGGACUAAUGACGGUACUCGCAGAAGAAGCACCGGCUAACUACGUGCCAGCAGCCGCGGUAAUACGUAGGGUGCAGGCGUUAAUCGGAAUUACUGGGCGUAAAGCGUGCGCAGGCGGCUCCUUAAGUCAGAUGUGAAAUCCCCGGGCUUAACCUGGGAACUGCGUUUGAAACUGGGGAGCUAGAGUGUGGAAGAGGGGGGUGGAAUUCCAGGUGUAGCAGUGAAAUGCGUAGAGAUCUGGAGGAACACCGAUGGCGAAGGCAGCCCCCUGGGCUAACACUGACGCUCAUGCACGAAAGCGUGGGGAGCAAACAGGAUUAGAUACCCCCGUAGUCCCUGAGCGGGCUGGCAAGGCG
rnacentral:rRNA from 1 species